rnacentral:lncRNA from 1 species
UUUUUUUUUUUUUUUCAUCAUUCAUCUUAUCUCCCUUUAUCUUCUUCAUCCUCUCCCCUUCAUCCUCAUCCUCUUUUUCUUUCAUCUUCUUCCUUUUUUAUUCACUCAUCAUCUUUCCUUUUUUUUACUCAUCUUCUUCCUCUUUUUUUUACCCAUCUUCUCUAUUCUUCCCAUCAUAUUCUUUCUCUUUCUCUCUCACACUCUCUUCUUCCCAUCAUAUUCUUCACUUAGCUUUCUUCUCUCUCUAACCACUUUUCGAAACCUUUCAUCACGGGCAACUAUAGUCUUCACUCUUUACAUUUUUCAACUAUGUCUAUUUCAACUCAAUUUUAUACGGCAGCACCUACGUUGCCGUUAAAUCCUGACGUGGCAC